GGGGGGUGUGCUUACAUGCAGUCGAGCGAACAGAUAAGGAGCUUGCUCCUUUGACGUUAGCGGCGGACGGGUGAGUAACACGUGGGUAACCUACCUAUAAGACUGGAAUAACUCCGGGAAACCGGGGCUAAUGCCGGAUAACAUAUAGAACCGCAUGGUUCUAUAGUGAAAGAUGGUUUUGCUAUCACUUAUAGAUGGACCCGCGCCGUAUUAGCUAGUUGGUAAGGUAAUGGCUUACCAAGGCGACGAUACGUAGCCGACCUGAGAGGGUGAUCGGCCACACUGGAACUGAGACACGGUCCAGACUCCUACGGGAGGCAGCAGUAGGGAAUCUUCCGCAAUGGGCGAAAGCCUGACGGAGCAACGCCGCGUGAGUGAUGAAGGGUUUCGGCUCGUAAAACUCUGUUAUUAGGGAAGAACAUAUGUGUAAGUAACUGUGCACAUCUUGACGGUACCUAAUCAGAAAGCCACGGCUAACUACGUGCCAGCAGCCGCGGUAAUACGUAGGUGGCAAGCGUUAUCCGGAAUUAUUGGGCGUAAAGCGCGCGUAGGCGGUUUCUUAAGUCUGAUGUGAAAGCCCACGGCUCAACCGUGGAGGGUCAUUGGAAACUGGGAAACUUGAGUGCAGAAGAGGAAAGUGGAAUUCCAUGUGUAGCGGUGAAAUGCGCAGAGAUAUGGAGGAACACCAGUGGCGAAGGCGACUUUCUGGUCUGUAACUGACGCUGAUGUGCGAAAGCGUGGGGAUCAAACAGGAUUAGAUACCCUGGUAGUCCACGCCGUAAACGAUGAGUGCUAAGUGU
rnacentral:rRNA from 1 species